rnacentral:rRNA from 1 species
GGGUUUAAAAGGGUCCGCAGGCGGGCAAUUAAGUCAGGGGUGAAAUGCUGUGGCUCAACCAUAGCACUGCCCUUGAUACUGGUUGUCUUGAGUUGUGGUGAAGUGGCCGGAAUAUGUAGUGUAGCGGUGAAAUGCAUAGAUAUUACAUAGAACACCGAUCGCGAAGGCAGGUCACUAACCACUAACUGACGCUGAUGGACGAAAGCGUGGGGAGCGAACGGGAUUAGAUACCCCGGUAGUCCACGCUGUAAACGAUGGAUACUAGCUGUCGGGAUUUCGGUCUCGGUGGCUAAGCGAAAGUGAUAAGUAUCCCACCUGGGGAGUACGUUCGCAAGAAUGAAACUCAAAGGAAUUGACGGGGGCCCGCACAAGCGGUGGAGCAUGUGGUUUAAUUCGAUGAUACGCGAGGAACCUUACCAGGGCUUAAAUGCAGAAUGACAGGUUUAGAGAUAGACUUUUCUUCGGACAUUUUGCAAGGUGCUGCAUGGUUGUCGUCAGCUCGUGCCGUGAGGUGUCAGGUUAAGUCCUAUAACGAGCGCAACCCUUGCCGUCAGUUGCCAGCAAGUAAUGUUGGGGACUCUGACGGGACUGCCGGUGCAAACCGAGAGGAAGGUGGGGACGACGUCAAAUCAUCACGGCCCUUACGUCCUGGGCUACACACGUGCUACAAUGGCCGGUACAAUGAGCAGCCACGUCGCAAGGCGGAGCGAAUCUAUAAAACCGGUCACAGUUCGGAUCGGGGUCUGCAACUCGACCCCGUGAAGCUGGAAUCGCUAGUAAUCGGAUAUCAGCCAUGAUCCGGUGAAUACGUUCCCGGGCCUUGUACACACCGCCC